rnacentral:lncRNA from 1 species
AAAGAGGCUGCAAGUGAAACAACAGAAAAAGUUCAAGACUUCAUCAAGCGUGUUUGGGAUCCUAUCCUUACACCAAAACACAUGUACUUGAAAUACCGUAUCUCGUCUCGGUUCUUUUCACAGAAAGGCUCUUCAAGGACGACCGGGCAAUCUGCAAGGAAGGUUGUAAACAAAAGAUAAUAACACAUGAUUUCAGAGAUUGCAGCACACUGAAGUAUGUAAUACAAGAAAUACGCCUGGUUGUGGAGUCCAAAUUGGGUGGGAAGGAAUCAAAUCACGAACUUUUGUAUGGUUUUGGGGGAGCCAGCGAUCUCCAGAUAGAAUCAGAGUACAAAAAAUGCUCCCUAAUAAAGGUGUGUUAGAAUUUA